rnacentral:lncRNA from 1 species
AGCUUGUUAUCUAAGUUCGGGCCACAACGAUAGCUUCGAUAUACCUGUCAGAGUCCAAAAUUCCUCUCUCUGCUCUGUAAUGCUUAAUGGCUCUGCCGCCAUUUGCCCUGCCCCGGGUCACGUGCUCGUCUGUGGAGGGAGCUUGGCAUUCACCUCCCUCCCCACUAAUUGGACUGGGCUGUGCGUGGUGGCGACUGUCCUCCCGGACAUCGCCCUCAUUCCUGGAGAUGAGCCGGUGCCCUUGCCCAGCUUUGACUAUAUCGCUGGGCGACAUAACAGGGCCAUUUCACUGGUCCCCCUGCUCGUGGGACUGGGGGUGUCCGGUGCCCUUGCCACUGGCUCUGCUGGCAUCUGAGUGGCGUUACACUCCUAUGCCAAAUUAUCCAACCAGUUGAUUAAUGAUGUUCAAGCUCUCUCCAACACUCUUACAGAUGUACAAGAUCAGAUCGAUUCUUUGGCUGAGGUGGUCCUUCAAAAUAGAAGGGGCCUGGACCUCCUCACGGCGAAACAAGGAGGGAUUUACAUAGCCCUACAUGAACAUUGUUGUUUCUAUGCCAAUAAAUCUGGGAUCGUCAGGGAAAAAAUUUGCUCAAAAUCCCCUCUGGACUGGCCUCAAUGGUUUCCUCCCUUAUCUUCUCCCUUUGCUGGGACCCUUAUUGGGCCUAUUUCUGCUCAUUUCUUUGGGGCCCAUAAUAUACAACAAAAUCAUGGCCUUCCUUAGAGCCCGGAUAGAGGCAAUAAAAACAGCACCCAUACAGGUCUACUAUCACAGAUUGGCAAUGGCUGACCAGGACGAAUGCCGGACCGUCAAUUAGGUCCUUGCCGUGGCGAAGUGUUCUCGCCCCACCUGGUGAGUGGGCUGGCAAGCCAAUGACGGGCAACUGAGCAAGCGUGCCAUGCAAUGAGAGAGCCCUCGUGCGCCGCCUAAGACAGGUGCCAGAGCCUUGAUGCUCUGGUUAACCGAUGACGGGAUCUCACUAUAGUUCAGGCUUGCCUUUAACUGGCUAUGGAGACCAGGCUAACCUCGAUCUCACAGUAAUCUUCCUCCUCAGCCUCCUACGUGAAAUUUAUGUCUCUUUAUGGUGAGUAGUACUCUAUUUUGUAUAUAUACCAGAUUUUCUCUAUGUAUUCAUCUGUUGAUGGACAUGUAGGUUGUUUCCAAAAUUUAGGUAUUACGAGUUUUACUACUAUAAAUAGAGUGCAUGUAUCUCUGUAAGAUGUCAUUACAUAUUUUGUGAAGAUACCCAGAAGAGUUAUACCUGAGUCAAAUGGAUCUCUGGUUUUAGUUUUUUGGAGGAAUCUCCAGAGUGGUUGUACUAUUUCUUCUUGCAAUAAACUUUGCAGAAUGGUUCCCUUUCCCACUCAACCCCACCUGCAUUAUUUUUGAGUUCUUGAAGCAUGCUUACUGGAACAAGCUCAAACUUCAGUGGGUUUUGAUUUGAAUUUCUCUAAUGGACAAAGAUAUUGAACAGACUUUUCUGCAUUUUAUGGCCAUAAAUGCUUCUUCUGAGAAGUAUCUAUUCACUUUGAGUUUUCAUUUUUAAAAUUUGGUCAUUUAUUUUGGAGUGUCUAAUGUUUUUGAGUUUUUAAAAUACAAUUUAAAUGUUAGUCUUCUGUCCAAGGAACAGCUGACCAAGAUUUUCCCACUCCAGGGGUUCUCUCUUUAAUUUGUUGUUUCUUUUGCUGUAAAAAUCUAAAUUUGACAUAAUCUCAUUUGUUGAUUGCUGAUAUUAUUUCUUGUGCAAUUGAGUUAUUCCAAAAUUCUUUGCUUCUGCCAAUGUCUUCAAGAGCUUUUUCUGUUUUAUUUUCCAUUAGAUUUAGUGUUUCUGGUUUAAUAUCUAGUUCUCUGGUCCAUUUUUAUUUGUUUUUUCUAGAGAAUUUAUGAGAGAUGGGUCUGGAUUUUAUUUUCUGUACUAGGAUAGUGAGUUUUUCCAGCACAGUCUUUUUCCAGUACACUAUAAGUUUGCAACAUCACUUUAAAUCUCAAAUAAUGAUUCCUCCUGCUUUGCUCUUAUGCUCAGGGGUUCUUUGGCUACUCUUGGUCUUUUCUCAUUUUCUUUUCCAGUACCAGAGCUCCAACUCAGGACCUCAGGCUUUCAAGGCAGGCACAGCACCACUGAGCUAAAUCCCCAGCCCUCUGAUUUGUUAUGAAUUUUAGAAAUGCGCUUUAUAGUUUUGUAAAGUACACUGAAAGUUUGAUAACAAUUGCAUUAAAAAUAUCUGGGAAUACAAGGUCCUGAGUUCUAUCCCCAGUACCACAAAAAUAAAAUAAAAUAAAAUAAAAAAUCCGGGAAUAUGGACAUUUUGACAACAUUAAUUGGCUAUGCCUGUGAGGUAGAAAGAGCUGCCAAACAUAACUUGGAAUGGAUAAUUACUGUAAAAUACAUGUUUAUGAAUUCUGUGUCAGCUCAAUGUAGCAACAAGGGACUGUUUAUAUAUUUUGUGUGAGCUACCCCUAAAACCCUGUCUGUGCCAACUUGUCCCUGAUUGGAAACUCUGGGUGGGCCUUCCCCCUCUUGUGGGGCUGCCUGUUCCCAGAAAGAUUAGAAACUAGCCUUGAAAUUUGUUUAUGUAAGCCCCCAAGCUUGAAACAAUGGAAAAUUGUCUAAUGUUGCUUUACCACCUCCUUGCUACAUUCUGUAUAACCCCAACUCAAGCUACCCUGUAGGCUACAAGCAAGGUAUAAAAAGGAGAAACUGCCUUAGCUCAAGGUCAGUCCUGGGACUGGCCAUUGCCUGGCAAUAAACUUCUUUUUUAUUUUACUCAACUCUCCUGUCUCUGGAAGAUCAUUUUGACUCCCAAUGUGCAGCAACACCUGUCUAGGAACAAGAUGUGUCUUUCUAUUUUCUAAUCUCUUCAAUCUCUCUGUUAUUUUGACUACUACAGUUUUUCUUUUAGAGGAUUUUUACUUUCUUUGUUACAUUCAUUCUUAGGUAUUAGUUUUUUUGAAGCUUUCAUUAGGG